UGCAACUGUAUAUCCGAGUCACAGCACCAUUAUAAUGGAUGUCAUGCUGCUUGCUUAGCGAGUAUCACUUCCUCCUGAUCCGACUCACUCUGAGGCUCAACACAGGACCUCUUCCUUGCUAGCACACAUGACCGCUCUCUCGAGGCCUCUUACCAGUUGGCGCCACCGAGAAGUUCCUGCGGAUUGCUAGCAUUAGUGGAUCAUAUUAAGCUAAUGUUGUGCAAUAAUAUGUAGCCUAUUUGAAUCAUUAUGGAAGUCAGUGUCACGCUCGUCGAUGGAAGGAUCGGACCCAGGUGCAGCGUGGUAGGCAUACAUGUCACGAUUUCUACGAAGAUCUCCUGGUCCAGCCUGAUAUCUCCAUGACUCAAUAGGAGGGGUCUCCAGGGGCCACCAGGAGCCUGAGGUGUUCAGGGGCCACAGCUUCACCCUCACUUAUUCCACUCAGCCACAGUACCAGGAGGCUCCUUCCUCCUCACGUUCACCAGCUCCAACAGCUCCAAUUGUCAAUCACUCUGCUGCCUUCCUCUUCCCUGCUGUAAAUUACUCCCACCAAAGGAAUUACAGCUGUGUUUAUGAGAACUGUUUUCUCUCUCAACUUCUACUCUGAGAGUGAGUUCCUCUCCCUCACAGCCUCUCCUCUGCCCACCUUCAUCAUCAGACAUGUUGUAAUGCUGCUGAUCCUACUGACAGCCAUCACUGCCUUCUACCUGUACUUCAAGACAAUAACGUGUGGUGCCUGGGCUUCUUUCUGGAGUGGAUUCUUGGAGUGAAACAUAAUUAAUUGUAGCAGAACUGUGAAUUUAGAAAAUGCCACGUUAUUAAAACAAAUGUUUUUCUCAUUAAGUAAUCCAUCAGUGUACCCCACCAUCAGUGUACCCCACCAUCUUAUCUGUUUCUUCUCUCAAUGUGUCUCUCAAAGUGUCCACCCCAAAGUGCUGCAUGUCAUGAUGACAGACACCUGUCUUGAUCAAUAAAAUACUUUAAAUAGACAAGAUGGCGGUGUACACACUGUUGGAUUACUUCCAGGAGCAAAAUAAUUAAUUUCUAAAAUCAAACCCUGCAACUGGACACAGACAUUUUAUGAGACUCCUGUUUCUAAGACAGCGUCGCCAAGCUAAGGUUGGUCAAAUUCUCUGUGCUACACCAAACAGUACCCAUCCUGUAACUCCAAUUAAUGGAUACUAAAAAUCUUAGGUUGAAUCACAUUAUCUUUUGUAACAAUCUGUAGCUACAGUUCUCUGCACUUUACUACACCUGAGACGCACUGAACUGUACUGCACAGUUCAUACAAAAAAUACAGUAUGUUACUUUUACCAUAUAACAUCCUUGUUGAGUACCCAGUUAUUUUUCAGUUAGCAUUAAAUAUUGUAGACUCCGUAUUUUAGUUUGACAAAUACGCAUAAUUUGGAUAUCUCUGAAUGGCUAACAUCUGUUUGAUGCUACAUAACCCUGUACGGCUUAUAUAAAUAUCUUCUAUAAAUCUAUAAAAGCAGACACAUUUUGGGGAUUGAUCGAAAAUAUCCAUAUGAAUUGUUUUGGUCCUGUUUCUGCUAAGGGUGGGCUGUGGAAGCCGAGUGCUUGUGGCGAAUGCUCUUGUCCCGUCUGAGGUGUACGGCCAGCUAGAUAAGACUGCCGAAACCGGUGUAGAGCUUGUAGACCUUAACCACCAACUGUUUGGACCUCUUCCAGAAGAUUUGCUGGUACUGCACGUGUCCUGGAAAGACGUGGUUGUGGUGUUACCAUUUUACACUUUUUGUGGAAGGGUCGUAGGGCAACACACCUUUGUUGGUAAAGAUGUCAACCGAUUGGUACCUAAGUGUUUACAUAGACUAGUGCACUGUUUAGGGACAAUGAGGGACAUUGGGAGCUGCUUUGAGAAGAAAGAUUAGUCAACAAAGGACUCCAGAUAACUUGAGUGUUACAAAGGGAAAAGAUAAGAAGAGAAAAGGUGGAGACUAAAUUGAUUACAUGUUCUGGAAGGUACUCUGUGGUCCUCAGGCUACAUCUAACCGCCUGUAACCCCAUAACACAAAAAAACUACUUACAAAUACUACCCAAAUCCCGUUUAUGCCAUGCUUACAGUAAAUUGAGCUAUAAACAUUUUUACCAACUUACCUUCACCUUGUGCAGAGCUUCAGGAUGGAAACACAUGCUUGUUGAAUGAGAUUAUGUACUACCUCCAAUACAACAAAACGCACAACAAUACACAAUUUAAGCACCCCACUAGUUGUAUUGAUCGCUAUUAGACUGGCUAGCUUAGCACAUCUAACAUGGACAUUUCAAUAUUUCCAGCUUGCUGUUAGCUAGUUAGCGAGAUUGCUAGCCAGCUAAAUUGGCGGCAAGAUUGUCACACCCUGAUCUGUUUCACCUGUCUUUGUGCUUGUCUCCACCCCCUCCAGGUGUCACCCAUCUUCCCCAUGAUCCCCUGUGCAUUUAUACCUGUGUUCUCUGUUUGUCUGUUGCCAGUUCAUGUUGUCUUGUCAAGCCUACCAGCGUGUUUUUCGUACUCCUGUUUCCUUGAGCCCCUGUUUUCUAGUUAUCCAAUAUUUGAUAAUUCUGCCUGCCCUGCUGAGCCUGCCUGCUGUCCUGUACCUUUUGCCACUGCCUUGGAUUACUGACCUCUGCCCGACCCUGAGCCUGCAUGCCGCUCUGUACCUUACGGACUCUGCCCUGGACUACCGACCCCUGCCUGCCCUUGACCUGUCCUUUGCUUGCCCCUGUUUUAUGUAAUAAACCUCCGUAAUUCGACCUGUCUGCAUCUGGGUCUUUCCUAAGCCGUGAUAGAGAGGGAGUUAGCUAUAUCGACAAUUGAUUUUUCAUAACAGUGUUUUCCAGACAAGAGUAGAAUAGAUUGAGUUACUCAUAUUUGCUUAAAUUAGCCAGCUUACAUUAGCUACCGUUUGUCAAAGUUAUAACGAACAGACAAACAUGUUUACUUUGCUGAAGGUAGCUACUGUACCAGUCUAGCAAUGACUACCAGGACUGUAACAUUAGCUAACAUAUCUAAUUUACCUAGUCCAGCUAACAUUGUGACAUCUAACUGAGAAUUGCACCACUUCUCAGCUGUCAUUGUUUAGAAUUAGCACAGCCAAACAGAACACCACAUAGGCAUGUUGACAAAAAUUAGUGAAAAACAAACAUUUUCAAAAUAAAUGAUGAGAUGACUAUGUGCUGGUCAUCUGAACUAAUCAAUGCCAUGAACCAAGCUUGUGGUUCAUGGCAAACUGGCUCUCAUUAGGAUCGCCACAGGAAUGGAAGACCCAGAGUUACCUCUGCUGCAGAGGAUAAGUUCAUUAGAGUUACCAGCCUCAGAUAUUA